UACGUAGGGUGCGAGCGUUGUCCGGAAUUAUUGGGCGUAAAGAGCUCGUAGGCGGUGUGUCGCGUCGGCCGUGAAAACCUGGGGCUCAACUCUGGGCGUGCGGUCGAUACGGGCAUCACUUGAGUUCGGCAGGGGAGACUGGAAUUCCUGGUGUAGCGGUGAAAUGCGCAGAUAUCAGGAGGAACACCGAUGGCGAAGGCAGGUCUCUGGGCCAUAACUGACGCUGAGAAGCGAAAGCAUGGGGAGCGAACAGG
rnacentral:rRNA from 1 species